AGUCCAUGAUAGGGAUAAAGUCUCAUCUUAUCCUUGUACCUUUCCCAUGCUUCGAGAAGUGAUUCUCCAUCUUUCUGUUUAAAUCUGUUGAUUGGCUUCUUAGCAU